UACGUAGGCAGCGAGCGUUGUUCGGAGUUACUGGGCGUAAAGAGUGCGUAGGCGGUUUUCUAAGUUUGGUGUGAAAUCUCCCGGCUCAACUGGGAGGGUGCGCCGAAGACUGGAAGGCUAGAGUGUGGGAGAGGUAAGCGGAAUUCCUGGUGUAGCGGUGAAAUGCGUAGAUAUCAGGAGGAACACCUGCGGUGUAGACGGCUUACUGGACCAUAACUGACGCUGAGGCACGAAAGCGUGGGUAGCAAACAGG
rnacentral:rRNA from 1 species